CCUACGGGAGGCAGCAGUGGGGAAUAUUGCACAAUGGGGGAAACCCUGAUGCAGCGACGCCGCGUGAGUGAAGAAGUAUUUCGGUAUGUAAAGCUCUAUCAGCAGGGAAGAAAAUGACGGUAACUGAUUAAGAAGCCCCGGCUCACUACGUGCCAGCAGCCGCGGGACUACGUAGGGGGCAGGCUUUCUCCUGAUUUACUGGUGGUAAAGGGGGCGUAGACGACAGCGAAAGCUCGAAGUGAAAUGCCGGGGAUGAAACCCGGGACUGCUUUGGAUACGGUGCAGCUAGAGUGCAGGAGAGGGAAGUUGAAUUCCUGGUGUAGCGGUGAAAUGCGUAGAUAUUAGGAGGAACACCAGUGGCGAAGGCGGCUUACUGGACUGUAACUGACGUUGAGGCUCGAAAGCGUGGGGAGCAAACAGGAUUAGAUACCCUUGUAGUC
rnacentral:rRNA from 1 species